AUUGAACGCUGGCGGCAGGCCUAACACAUGCAAGUCGAGCGAGCGGCGGACGGGUGAGUAAUGUAUGGGGAUCUGCCCGAUAGAGGGGGAUAACUACUGGAAACGGUGGCUAAUACCGCCUACUCUCGGGUGAACCCAUCUGGGAUUAGCUAGUGGGCGGGGUAACGGCUCACCUAGGCGACGAUCCUCAGCUGGUCUGAGAGGCUGAUCAGCCACACUGGAACUGAGACACGGCCCAGACUCCUACGGGGGGCAGCAUUGGGGAAUAUUGCAAAAGGGGCGCAAGCCUGAUGCAGCCAUGCCGAGUGUAUGAAGAAGGCCUUAGGGUUGUAAAGUACGUUCAGCGGGGAGGCGUUACCCGCAGAAGAAGCACCGGCUAACUACGUGCCAGCAGCCGCGGUAAUUC
rnacentral:rRNA from 1 species